GCAUUCGUAGCUCAGCAGGAUAGAGCGUCCCCCUCCUAAGGGGAAGGCCGGGGGUUCGAAUCCCUUCGAGUGCACCA
rnacentral:tRNA from 2 species